CACGUAGGGUGCGAGCGUUGUCCGGAAUUAUUGGGCGUAAAGAGCUCGUAGGCGGUCCGUCACGUCGGAUGUGAAAUUCCAGGGCUCAACCCUGGACCUGCAUUCGAUACGGGCGGACUAGAGUUCGGUAGGGGAGACUGGAAUUCCUGGUGUAGCGGUGAAAUGCGUAGAUAUCUGGAGGAACACCGGUGGCGAAGGCGGCAGCCUGGACCGACACUGACACUGAGGAGCGAAAGCCAGGGGAGCAAACGGG
rnacentral:rRNA from 1 species